rnacentral:rRNA from 1 species
UCCUACGGGGGGCAGCAGUGAGGAAUAUUGGUCAAUGGUCGGGAGACUGAACCAGCCAAGCCGCGUGAGGGAUGAAGGUACAGAGUAUCGUAAACCUCUUUUGUCAGGGAACAAAGGCGGGGACGUGUCCCCGGAUGAGUCUACCUGAAGAAAAAGCAUCGGCUAACUCCGUGCCAGCAGCCGCGGUAAUACGGAGGAUGCGAGCGUUAUCCGGAUUUAUUGGGUUUAAAGGGUGCGCAGGCGGUCUGUUAAGUCAGCGGUCAAAGCCCGGGGCUCCACCCCGGCCCGCCGUUGAAACUGGCAGU